rnacentral:rRNA from 1 species
GUCCACACGGUAAACGAUGAAUACUCGCUGUUGGCGAUAUACAGUCAGCGGCCAAGCGAAAGCAUUAAGUAUUCCACCUGGGGAGUACGCCGGCAACGGUGAAACUCAAAGGAAUUGACGGGGGCCCGCACAAGCGGAGGAACAUGUGGUUUAAUUCGAUGAUACGCGAGGAACCUUACCCGGGCUUAAAUUGCAGAGGACAGGCCGAGAGAUCGGCCCUUCUUCGGACCUCUGUGAAGGUGCUGCAUGGUUGUCGU